CGUCCAGGUGGGGCGAUAAGUUGGAAGUGAAAACUGCCGGCUCAACUGGCAGCCUGCUUUCGAUACUGUCGUCCUUGAGUGUGGGAGAGGUGCGGGGAAUUCUCAGUGUAGCGGUGAAAUGCGUAGAUAUUGGGAAGAACACCGGAGGCGAAAGCGCCGCACUGGCCUAACACUGACACUGAAGCGCGAAAGCGUGGGGAGCAAACA
rnacentral:rRNA from 1 species